rnacentral:rRNA from 1 species
GGGGGGGGGGGGGGGGGGGGGGGGGGGGGGGGGGGCGGAGGGGGGGGGGGGUGGGGGGGGGGGGGGGGGGGGGGGGGGCGGAGGGGGGGGCGGGGGGGAGGGGGACAAGGACUGGCCCCGGGUGCUAAUAGCCCGUAGGCGGAGGGGCAAAAGGAGAAAUCCGCCCGCGGAGGGGCUCGCGUCUGCUUAGCUAGUUGGUGAGGUAGUAGCUGACCAAGGCGCUGGUCAGUAGCUGGUCCGAGAGGAAGAUCAGCCACACGGGUACUGAGACACGGCCCAGACUCCUACGGGAGGCAGCAGUGGGGAAUUUGCCGCAAUGGGCGAAAGCCUGACGGAGCAAUGCCGCGUGGAGGUGGAAGGCCUACGGGUCGACAACUUCUUUUCUCGGAGAAGAAACAAUGACGGUAGCUGAGGAAUAAGCAUCGGCUAACUCUGUG